CAUCUUUUCUUGUUAGUUUUUGAAGUAUGGCCUGCCCACUGACUUAGAGUUGAAGGGCCGCGGUAUUUUGACCGUGCAAAGGUAGCAUAAUCAUUAGUUCUUUAAUUGUGAUCUGGUAUGAAUGGCUUGACGAGACAUAAGCUGUCUUAGAAGUAUUGAUUUAUUGAAUUUGGUUUUUGAGUUAAAAUUCUUAAAUGUUUUUAUGGGACGAGAAGACCCUAUAGAGUUUGACAAUUUUCCUAUUUAUUCGUUGUUUGUUUUAUUUACAUUGAGUGGGAGUGAAUUGUUUUGUUGGGGUGAUGGGAGGAAUAUUGUUUAACUCCUCUUUAUUUUUAUAUAUUUAUGUAUAUAUUUUUGAUCCAUUUAUUUUGAUUAUAAGAUUAAAUUACCUUA
rnacentral:rRNA from 1 species